rnacentral:tRNA from 1 species
AGGGGAAUAAGAAAUAAAAGAAGCUGCUAACUAUCUUUUAAAGCGGUUAAAGUCCGUUUAUCCCCUA